rnacentral:rRNA from 1 species
UCUAAAAUGCAGCACAACACGCACUCCCUAUUUGUGUACCGACGUUAGGUCAACACACGCAAGUGUGUGGCCUACUAACCUACACACCAUUGACCAACCAAUAAUCAAACCAAACUCUGAAGCUUUGGCUGCUGUUAAUCGGCAGUUUUAACAAAGAACAACUCUCAACAACGGAUAUCUUGGCUCUCGCAACGAUGAAGAACGCAGCGAAAUGCGAUACGUAGUGUGAAUUGCAGAAUUCCGUGAACCAUCGAAUCUUUGAACGCAUAUUGCGCUCGACCCCCCGGGGAAGAGCAUGUCUGCCUCAGCGUCGGUUUACACCCUCACCCCACUUACUUCACAGUAAGCGCUUGCUGCGUUGUAUGACCAGCAACUGGGAUGGAUCUGGCCCUCCCAAUUGAAGCAAUUCGAUUGGGUUGGCUGAAGCACAGAGGCUUAAACUGGGACCCGUACCGGGCUCAACUGGAUAGGUAGCAACACCUUCGGGUGCCUACACGAAGUUGUGUCUGAGGACCUGGUUAGGAGCCAAGCAGGAAACAUGGAAACAUGUACUCUGUAUUCGACCUGAGCUCAGGCAAGGCUACCCGCUGAACUUAAGCAUAUAAAA